AACGCGAAGAACCUUACCUAGGCUUGACAUGCAUGGGAAAGCCCCUGGAAACAGGGGCCCCUCUUCGGAGCUCAUGCACAGGUGCUGCAUGGCUGUCGUCAGCUCGUGUCGUGAGAUGUUGGGUUAAGUCCCGCAACGAGCGCAACCCUUACCCUUAGUUGCCAGCGAGUCAUGUCGGGGACUCUAGGGGGACUGCCGGUGCCAAACCGGAGGAAGGUGGGGAUGACGUCAAGUCAUCAUGGUCCUUACGUCUAGGGCUACACACGUGCUACAAUGGCAGGUACAGAGGGCUGCGAAGGGGCAACCUGGAGCCAAUCCCCAAAGCCUGCCUCAGUUCGGAUUGUCGGCUGCAACUCGCCGGCAUGAAGCUGGAAUCGCUAGUAAUCGCGGAUCAG
rnacentral:rRNA from 1 species